GUGGGGAAUCUUGGACAAUGGGGGCAACCCUGAUCCAGCCAUGCCGCGUGGAUGAUGAAGGCCUUAGGGUCGUAAAGUCCUUUCGCCGGGGAAGACAAUGACGGUACCCGGUAAAGAAACCCCGGCUAACUCCGUGCCAGCAGCCGCGGUAAUACGGAGGGGGUUAGCGUUGUUCGGAAUGACUGGGCGUAAAGCGCGCGUAGGCGGAUCGGAAAGUUGGGGGUGAAAGCCCAGGGCUCAACCCUGGAACGGCCUUCAAGACUUCCGGUCUAGAGUUCGAGAGAGGUGGGUGGAAUUCCGAGUGUAGAGGUGAAAUUCGUAGAUAUUCGGAGGAACACCAGUGGCGAAGGCGGCCCACUGGCUCGACACUGACGCUGAGGCGCGAAAGCGCGGGGAGCAAACAGG
rnacentral:rRNA from 1 species